GGAACCCAAGUCCAGAGCCAUUUUCAAAUGUCAUCCCUUUCUAGUUAUGGCAAAUAAGAAACCAAGAAACACAACAGGAUUUUGAACUGAAUCAAAGAGUUUUACAAGACUCAAGAUGUUGGCUGGUAGAAAUCCAAGUCAAAAAUGGCGAGUCACAAUAUCUUUCCUCUAGGCAAGAAAAAAAAAGAAGAUAAGGGAAAGACAAAGGAAGGAAAUGGAAGGAAAGGACAAAGAAGGAAAGUCUACUCUGAAUCUUGACAUGUCAGCUUGAUUCUAGAAGUGCGUUUACCUGGAGGACUUACCCACAACUUUAACCUUGAUGCUUGCAUGUGCCUCUCCAGCUUCGUUUUUCAGAUUGAUGUGGUAAACACCAGAGUCAUCUCUUUCAGCUAUAUCAAUGACCAGAGUGCUGCUAUCAGG